GGCGGAUGUCCACCUUACUUUUCCCCGGGUGUUGUCCGUCUCCCCGACGCACACUCACGGCUGCUUCCAUCUAUCCAUGCAGUUCACUUCAUUGUACUGGCUCCGCUCAUCAAUUAGGCGAAAAUUAAGCCUUUUUAGAUGCGAUAAUUGUCUUUAAGCGCGUCGAAGAGGAAUAUAAACUGUGAACAGAGGCGCAGAUAAGUUUUGAGUGCGAGGAGAGCGGAGAGAAACGAAACACAGAUGCUUCUACUUGUCUGUUGUGCUGUUUGCUCAGCAUGUAGGAGGAGGAGCUCCAUCAAGUAGUUGAUAAAUAAACAGCAAAAAAUGGUUACAGUAAUGCACCCUACAGAUCUGCCAAAUCAAUAUCACUGGUACUUACUCGCAGACCUUGUUAAAUGGAUUGGAUAAUGGCCAUACUGGACUGAUUCUCAUUAAAUAAAGCUUCUCGGCAAGUCUGUUUUUAUUUACUUGGUUACGGUGGUCUGCCUGCUCAUAUUUUAUUGCCACACUAAACCCUAACAUCCUGUUACCUUGUAUAAAAAUGAUUCCACAUGGUCAGGUAUACAGACAUUACAUUGGUAAAAGAGAGCACUGGAAUGUGAGCUCAAGUGUUUCUUAAUGGUCUGGGGCACUACAUGGCCCUGUGUUCUGUUAGUGGGUGGUGCAGCAUCAUCUUCUUAAUUAACUGGAGUAAUAAAGGAGGACGUGAGUUCAUCAGUUUGAGUCCUGUGUUGAACAAGAACAAGGGCCUCUGGAUUGUGUGUUGAGGUUCCUUGAAGGUCAAUAUGGUGAGAGAAGAUCAGAACGAGAGCAGAAAUGUAGCCAACAAACCAAUGGCCCAUUCAUCACCUUACAUCCCAUAUAAUUAAUCACACUGUAAGCUCAUUUUUGAUUAGUGUGACACCAAGAUAAGAGCCUGAUCAAAGCACAAAUGUUAAUUAGCCUGGAACCUCUCUGUUAAUUUUUUUAUUUCCAAUGAGCAUUACUUGAAAUGUUCAGCCCUAGUUUUCAGGCAACCAAGUUCUAUCUACUGAUGAAAAUGAGGGUUUCUGGGAGAGUUGUUGAGUGUGAAUGUUCUCAUACAGUAAAGUUAUGUUGGGAAAUAAACUCUGCUGAAGGGAAAAUAAUGGGAUUGCUUCCAAUGUAGCAACAUAAGGUGCUGCUCUACGUUUCAAGAGUGAUUAAGGCUUUACAGGGUUUCAAGUGAAAUCCUAUCGCAGCCAAAUAUCUGCCAAGUGAUAUUUUUAUGGGAGAUUGUAUGGAAGCAAACAAGAGACAGAAGUAUUUGAAUUUUAUCAGACACCGAAUGUAUAGCAUUGAAAAUAAUUACUUUGAAAAUCAUGUAUCUGAAUUUUUGUGAAAUACAAAAAUUCGAAUGUUCAAAUUCAGAUCCCAAAAAUUCAAGUGAAAAAAAUUCGACGUCAAAUAUUUCGGUGUUUAAAAUUC